CCUACGGGCGGCAGCAGUGGGGAAUAUUGGACAAUGGGGGCAACCCUGAUCCAGCCAUGCCGCGUGUGUGAAGAAGGCCGUCGGGUUGUAAAGCACUUUCAGUGAGGAAGAACGCCUGGUGGUUAAUACCCAUCAGGAAAGACAUCACUCACAGAAGAAGCACCGGCUAACUCCGUGCCAGCAGCCGCGGUAAUACGGAGGGUGCGAGCGUUAAUCGGAAUUACUGGGCGUAAAGCGCGCGUAGGUGGCUUGAUAAGCCGGUUGUGAAAGCCCCGGGCUCAACCUGGGAACGGCAUCCGGAACUGUCAAGCUAGAGUGCAGGAGAGGAAGGUAGAAUUCCCGGUGUAGCGGUGAAAUGCGUAGAGAUCGGGAGGAAUACCAGUGGCGAAGGCGGCCUUCUGGACUGACACUGACACUGAGGUGCGAAAGCGUGGGUAGCAAACAGGAUUAGAUACCCUAGUAGUC
rnacentral:rRNA from 1 species